UCAAAAUAUUUAAUCGAAAAGUAUGUCUCCAUGCAAAAUUAUCCAUCCCUCUACAGGUGGUAUCUUAAUAUAAACACAUCUUAUUCUUAAAGUAUCAACACUAACCAUUACUAACAAUUGGUACUUAAUUAAAUAGGUUGAAGGAAGACAAGAGAGGGAGAGAAAUGAGAGGAGAGGGGAGGGGAUAGGGGAGAGAGAAUAGAGACUGAUGGAGUGAGUUUUCAGAUAAGGGUUUAAGGUACAAGUCUUGUAGAGGGAUAGGUCUUCUUUAAAAAAUAAUGUAUUCAGUAAAAAAUAGAAAUUCUUGUUAACAAUAUGAAUAUGAGUAGGGAUACAAACCAAUUUUUAUUUUUGGUAUGCAAAUCCAGUCUGAAAGUCCUUGUAUUAAAAUAAUGGGUCUAUUACAUUUCUAAAAUAUUUCCAAGUCUAAAAUUUGUGUGACCCCAGUGGCCAAUCCAGGGGUUGGGGUACGACCCCCCCCCCUUUUUUUUUUUUUUUUUUUAAAGAUAAUGCAUUUGAAUGUGGAUAUAUACAUGUAUUUAAAAUCCCCACUUUCUUCUAGGUUGGAUCCCCCUUUUUUUAAAGAUUGUUGGUUCCUCUCCUGAACCCAAAGUUCUCCCUUCCUAUUUGGUAAAGACAUAUAAGAUUGUGUUUAUAAAUACACGGAUGCCCAAUCCGCACUAUCAUUUUCUAUGUUUAGUGGACUUUAAAAAUGAAGGAAAAAACUCUAAUUUGGCAUUAAAAUUAGAAAGAUGAUAUCAUAGGGAACAUGUUACUUCUAAGUAUCAAGUUGAUUGGACUUCAACUUCACCAAAAACUACCUCAACCAAAAACUUUAACCUGAAGCUGGACAGACAAACAAACAGACGCUCAGACCAGAAAACAUAAUGCCCAUAAAUGAGGCAUAAUAAGUGUUUGCCUUGGAAAACUCCCUUAAUAAUUUGCUUAACAACAGGCAGUCUUGCCUGUCAUAAUUCAGUAACUACAAGUUAUUUAUCUUUUCUUGAAAGAUAUGACUGUUUCAACACCACUUGUAGUACUCCUACCUCUUACAAGGCUGCCAGUUUUUAUUGGUGGCGGAAGCCAUAUAAAUGGAACCUGAAAAACCACCGACCUUCAGUGUCUUUAAAUGUUGUCCAAAGUUUCUGUUGAAAUGUUUGUACUGGUUUAAGGUAUUGCUGAUUAAAAGUGUUGACGUCUGAUUAAACAAAAAAACAUCAAUUACCAAAUUGUCAUAUUCAGGGGGAGAUAAACAUAUUGAAAUAAAUCAAGGGGAGAUAAACUUACUGAAAUAAAUCCUUUUCAACAACUUUGGAUCAAUACCUUAUAAAUGGGUACUCAGAUAAUAUUUUGGGAAAGAUUUUCAGAAAAGCAAUUUAAAAAUCCGUUCAAGGUAUAUUCUCUUAAAUUUUUGAAAUAAUUGGUCCAGUGAUCAAUGAAGAAUGUAAAGAUGAUCAUGAUGUGAUAAUGCCAAUGAGAUGUGGUUAAUAUGCCAAUGAGAUGUGGUCGAUAUGUCAAUGAGAUGUGGUAAUAAAGCUAAUGAGAUGUGCUAAGAAUGCCAAUGAGAUGUGCUUAGAAUGCUAAUAAGAUGUGCUAAGAAUGCUAAUGUGAUGUGGUUAAUAUGCCAAUGAGAUGUGGUCAAUAUGCCAAUGAGAUGUGGUAAUAAAGUAAUGAGAUGUGAUAAGAAUGCAAAUGAGAUGUGGUAAAUAUUCCAAUGAGAUGUGGUCAAUAUGCCAAUGAGAUGUGCUAAGAAUGCCAAUGAGAUGUGCUAAGAAUGCUAAUGAGAUGUGGUAAUAAAGCUAAUGAGAUGUGGCAAUAAAGUUAAUGAGAUGUUGCAAUAAUGCUAAUGAGAUGUGGCAAUAAAGUUAAUGAGAUGUGGUAGUAAAGCUAAUUAAAUGCACUUAUAAGUAUGCAAAUGAGAUGUGGUAAUGAAGCUAAUGAGUUGCACUAAGAAUGCAAAUGAGAUGUGGUAAUAAAGCUAAUGAGAUGUGGUAAAAAGGCUAAUGAUAUUUGGUAAUAAAGCUAAAUAGAUGUGGUAAUAGUGCCAAUGAGAUGUGCUAAAAAUGCCAAUGAGUGGUGAUAUUUAUGCAAAUUCAAUUUGGUAAGAAUGCCAAUGAGAUGUGGUAAUAAAGCUAAUGAGAUGUAGUAAGAAUGCCAAUGAGAUGUGGUAAUAAAGCUAAUGAGAUGUAGUAAGAAUGCCAAUGAGAACUAUCCACCACAGAUAAAACCACAAGGCUGUAAGAGUUAUCUUUCUUUCAUGUGAAUUUUAUGUAUACUUUGCAAACUUUGUAAGCUCCCCUACAGCUGAUAGUUAAACAUUUCCAUCAUUUUAUGAUUUAAGUUGCCCUUUCUUUUAAUAAAAUUAUUUUAUGAAUAAACUUUUAUAAAUUAGCAAGAUGAAAAAGCUUGCUAUAAAUCUCAAAUUCAAAAUUUUCUGAAAAAAAACCUUAAAUAACCACUUGAUUUUUUUGCCAAUUUAAAAAAAAGAUAUACCAGUAAUGACACGAGGAUAGAAGAUGUGUGGAAUCAAAUAGGUAACAACUAUAGUGAUAAUGAAAUAUUCCAAUAAUAACCAGUUUUAAAUGUAUUGACUUAACAGACUUAAUGUAUGAUGUUAUAUGUGACCAGUCAGAAUAGUGGACAAUGAAAUAUUCAAAUGAUGAAACUGACUGACUUUUAGUGAAUAGACUAAAUUCAGGAUUGAACAGCCUUGGAAUUGGACCGACAAGUAAAUAUUGACACCCGCCUUGGAACCAGCAAGUGAAUUAUUGACAUUUAUAUUGAUGUGACCAGUAUUCAUGUAAAUGGACAGUACUAGUGGACUAUAAACUGAUAAAUCUCACAGAAAGGCACAUCACAACUGGGUCUGAAGCUGUUACAUGCAAAAGACGAGAUAUCCAGGAAAUUUUGAAGAAUUGUAUGUGAUCUAUAACAAGAUCUGAGGACAGUAGGACCUGGAAGUACUAUAUUACCAACUUCAAGAUUAACUGAUUGGGAAUUUACAAAUCAACUGAUAAAGAAAAAGACAAAUUUUGCCAUUUAGAUGAACUUGGAAACAAUUAUUGACAAACAAUAUAGUGUAUUAUUAUUCUUGUUGAAAUCAACAGAGAGAGAGAGAGAGGAAGGAUAGGAGAGAGUCAAUUGUAAAGAUUUAUGUCUUUUUAACCAGACAUGUCAAUUAUAUUAGAAUUUCAGAGGCCUACAGUUUUAGCAUUACAGGUGCUAAAUGGUCAUACAUGAAGUAGUUAAAGCACUUUAAUGUUAAAAUUUUGAUUUGACCAGCGAGAACAAUCAGGCAACUGCCAUUGGUUUAAAUCUCUUUUUUUGAAGAUGUUUGGUUACAUAAGAAUAAAUCUGUGUGGAACGUCAAAAAAAAAGUAAAAAAAUAAUUUGUGGUAUUUUGUACAGUUUCAUUAUGCAAUCUUGAAUGCAUUUAUGAUUACUAUUUAUAAAGAAGUAUUAAUUUAUCAUUAGAAUGAGGAUGGACAAUGUUUAAAUAUUUAUUUGAGACAGAGCUCGAGUUUUGCAUUAUUUCAUAAAAAAAAAAAUUAUUUUUCUGUUAAUGAAGAACAAACAGGGAAAACAGACAAAGCUGCUAUUCUAUGAUUUUCAAAUUGUAUUUAUUUACAUUUGAUUGAUUAGUUGAAGAUUAACUACAAGUAUUCAGCAUAGUACAAAAUUAAGGAUGCACUGCAAGUGUAUCUUUAUAGUUAUCAUCACACUAUGUCCAAUCUAGAUGUACAACACUCUUUUUUAUAGUGUUCUGUAAAUUAUCAGGAACACCAGUUGUGAUGAAUGGAAAGACUGGCAGGCUGAGAUUAUACAAGGGGAGGGAAUACCCCUGCUUAUUUUUUCAUACUGGUUAGUUCCUUUGGUAAAGGUUUUGUACAAUUUUUAGUUCAUAUCAGGUGGAUUCGUUUUGAAGAGAGUUGUUAUUUAGAGCUCUGUAAAAAAAAAAAAAUAAGAAUUGUAAACAGAGUUCUAGAUAAUAACUGGGUGGUAUGAAAU